UACGUAGGGUGCAGGCGUUAAUCGGAAUUACUGGGCGUAAAGCGUGCGCAGGCGGUUUCUUAAGUCAGAUGUGAAAGCCCCGGGCUUAACCUGGGAACUGCGUUUGAAACUGAGAGACUAGAGUGUGGCAGAGGGGGGUGGAAUUCCACGUGUAGCAGUGAAAUGCGUAGAUAUCGGGAGGAACAUCAGUGGCGAAGGCGGCCUUCUGGUCCAGUACUGACACUCAAGUGCGAAAGCGUGGGGAGCAAACAGG
rnacentral:rRNA from 1 species